CCAAUAGCGUAUAUUAAAGUUGUUGCAGUUAAAAAGCUCGUAGUUGAAUUUUAGUCCUGGCCGGGCGGUCCGUCUUUGGCGAGUACUGUCCUGUGUCGGGUCUUCCUUCUGGUGAACCAGUAUGUCCUUUAUUGGGUGUGCCGGGGAGCCAGGACCAUUACCUUGAAAAAAUUAGAGUGUUUAAAGCGGGCAUUUGCUUGAAUAGAUUAGCAUGGAAUAAUAGAAUAGGACGUUGUGGUUCUAUUUUGUUGGUUUCUAGGACCACCGUAAUGAUUAAUAGGGAUAGUUGGGGGCAUUAGUAUUCAAUUGUCAGAGGUGAAAUUCUUGGAUUUAUUGAAGACUAACUACUGCGAAAGCAUUUGCCAAGGAUGUUUUCAUUAAUCAAGAACGAAAGUUAGGGGAUCGAAGACGAUCAGAUACCGUCGUAGUCUUAACCAUAAACUAUGCCGACUAGGAAUCGGGCGACGUUAUUUUCAUGACUCGCUCGGCGCCUUAUG
rnacentral:rRNA from 1 species